rnacentral:rRNA from 1 species
UGGGGAAUCUUGCGCAAUGGACGAAAGUCUGACGCAGCCACGCCGCGUGAGUGAAGAAGGCCUUCGGGUUGUAAGCUCUGUCGGGCGGGACGAAAAGCGUCUGGGUGAAUAGCCCAGAUGCCUGACGGUACCGCCAAAGGAAGCACCGGCUAACUUCGUGCCAGCAGCCGCGGUAAUACGAGGGGUGCUAGCGUUGCUCGGAAUUAUUGGGCGUAAAGGGUAGGUAGGUGGUCUCGUUUGUCUGGGGUGAAAGCCUUGAGCUUAACUCAAGAAGUGCCUCGGAAACGGCGAGACUAGAGUCCUGGAGAGGGUCGUGGAAUUCCCGGUGUAGCGGUGAAAUGCGUAGAGAUCGGGAGGAACACCAGAGGCGAAGGCGGCGACCUGGGACAGGGUACUGACACUCAACUACGAAAGCGUGGGGGAGCAAACAGGAUUAGAUACCCUGGUAGUCCACGCUGUAAACGAUGAGU